UACCCACUGAGAAAUCAAAAAUCCGAAACCCUCUUCUGUUCCAAAAUUCUCUUAAAACUCCAUCGGAGGCAAAAAGUAAACCUCAAGCUAGAAGAUGGAUUUUUAACAACUUAUUCUCCAAAUUGAUGGGUCUUCAAUCAAUAAGGUGUAGGUGGUGAUGACUAAAGUAUUUUUCCUAAAAUGAAGAGCUUGGAUUACUGUUCCCUAGUUCAAGUGUGUCCUUAAUGAUUCAAGGACCUUCAUGUAAAAAGUUCAAAUUAAGUUCAUGUAAUAUUAUAGAAAUAUUCUCUUUUAUUGUUAAGGGACAUGUCCCUAUUCUAUUGGAAUCGUGUCUAAGAUUGCAAGCCGAGACUAGUAUCCUAACUAUGUGCUAAUGGUUUUUAAGUGAAGUGAUGUUGUAGUCUUUUACUAAGGUAUGAAAAAGUUUUAAAUUUUCUACUAA